ACCCCGGGAGGGGAGUGAAAGAGAACCUGAAACCCUGUGUUUACAAGCUGUGGAAGUGCAAGAGCACAACCGCGUACUUUUUGUAGAACGGUCCGGCGAGUUACGUCUACUGGCGAGGUUAACUUCUAGAGAGGAAGGGAGCCGAAGGGAUACCAAGUGUGAAGAGCGCGAGAAGUCAGUAGGAGUAGACCCGAAACCGGGUGAUCUAUCCAUGUCCAGGUUGAAGUUUCCGUAAAAGGGAAUGGAGGACCGAACUCACAUCCGUUGAAAAGGGUGGGGAUGAGGUGUGGAUAGGGGAGAAAUUCCAAUCGAACCCGGAGAUAGCUGGUUCUCCUCGAAAUAGCUUUAGGGCUAGCCUCGAUGGAGUCUGGUGGAGGUAGAGCACUGAAUUUCCUAGGGGGCGUCAAAGCUUACCGAAGAAUAUCAAACUCCGAAUGCCAUACAGAUGCUCAUCGGGAGUCAGACGGCACGAGAUAAGUUGGGUCGUCAAAAGGGAAAGAGCCCAGACCUGCAGCUAAGGUCCCAAAGUGCGUGUUAAGUGGAAAAGGAUGUGGGAUUUCGAAGACAACUAGGAUGUUGGCUUAGAAGCAGCCAUACAUUCAAAGAGUGCGUAAUAGCUCACUAGUCGAGAGGUCCUGCGCCGAAAAUGUCCGGGGCUAAAACACGACACCGAAGCUCAGGAAUCACUUUAGGGUGGUUGGUAGAGGAGCAAUCUUACCUGGGAGAAGCAUGACUGGAAGGUGAUGUGGACGGGUAAGAAGAGAGAAUGCCGGAAUGAGUAGCGAGAUGGAGGUGGGAAUCCUCCAGGCCGAAUAUCCAAGGUUUCCAGGGUAAAGCUGAUCUGCCCUGGGGAAGUCGGGGCCUAAGGCGAGGUCGAAAGACGUAGCUGAUGGACAACAGGUAGAGAUUCCUGUACUAUCGUAUAACAGAACUGUGGGGACGCAGGUAGAGAGCCUGAGCCGGGAGAGGGAAAACCGGUGCAAGCGAAGUAGGAGUCAUGCAGGAAAACCCGUAUGGCAAUCCGAAGGCGUGAUGCGGAGCGAAGGAUAGUAGCGAAGCAGGUGAGCUAACUGCCGGGAAAAGCCGCUAUAGCUUAUACGAUACCCGUACCGUAAACCGACACAGGUGGAUGAGGAGAGAAUCCUAAGGCCGGCGGGAGAAGCAUUGUUAAGGAACUCGGCAAAAUGACCCCGUAACUUCGGGAGAAGGGGUGCCCAUGAAAGUGGGCCGCAGAGAAUAGGCUCAAGCAACUGUUUAGCAAAAACACAGGUCUAUGCGAAACCGAAAGGUGAGGUAUAUGGGCUGACGCCUGCCCGGUGCUGGAAGGUUAAGGGGAGAGGUUAGCGCAAGCGAAGCUUUGAACUUAAGCCCCAGUAAACGGCGGCCGUAACUAUAACGGUCCUAAGGUAGCGAAAUUCCUUGUCGGGUAAGUUCCGACCCGCACGAAAGGCGUAAUGAUUUGGGCACUGUCUCAACAAUGCACCCGGUGAAAUUGAAAUACCAGUGAAGAUGCUGGUUACCUGCGCCAGGACGGAAAGACCCCAUGGAGCUUUACUCCAGCUUGAUACUGGGAUUCGGUAUUGCAUGUACAGGAUAGGUGGGAGGCUGAGAAGUGAUGACGCCAGUUGUCAUGGAGCCACUGUUGGGAUACCACCCUUGCAGUACUGGGUUUCUAACCAGCAGCCGUGAUCCGGCUGGGGGACAAUGUCAGGUGGGGAGUUUGACUGGGGCGGUCGCCUCCGAAAGGGUAUCGGAGGCGCUCAAAGGUUCCCUCAGAAUGGUUGGAAACCAUUCGAAGAGUGCAAAGGCAGAAGGGAGCUUGACUGCGACACCGACGGGUGGAGCAGGUACGAAAGUAGGACUUAGUGAUCCGGUGGUAUUAAGUGGGAAUGCCAUCGCUCAACGGAUAAAAGCUACCCUGGGGAUAACAGGCUUAUCACUCCCAAGAGUUCACAUCGACGGAGUGGUUUGGCACCUCGAUGUCGGCUCAUCGCAUCCUGGGGCUGUAGUCGGUCCCAA
rnacentral:rRNA from 1 species